rnacentral:misc_RNA from 1 species
CCGAGUUUACAACUCCCAAACCCAAUGUGAACAUACCUCAAGUUGCUUCGGCGGGAACGCCCCGGCGCGCCCUCCGACCCUCCCGCCCGCGGGGGGAUCGGGGAGCCUAGCCCGGACCCAGGCGCCCGCCGGAGGUACCCAAACUCUCGUCUUCAGUAUAUUCUUCUGAGUGGCAAACGCAAAAAUAAAUCA